GGGAAUGUGGCUUAGUGGUAGAGUGCUUGCCUAGCAUGCAUGAAGCCCUAGGUUUGAUUCCUCAGUGUCA
rfam:Dipodomys ordii contig_2400, whole genome shotgun sequence.